rnacentral:lncRNA from 1 species
AGCGGUCGAGGGUUGAGUGAGGGCCAGUGGUUGCGUUGCGAAUAUUGAAUUCCAUGUGCUAGAUAUCCCUGCUUCUUUGAAUCUGUUACUGGGUAGGCCAUGUAACCAUGCCUUUGGGUGCUCUUCCUUCUUCGUUACAACAAAAGAUCAAGAUGCCAAGAGAUGGGGGAAUUCUUACUAUCCAUGGAGAUGCUGAUAGGGAGACAGCUUUCUUCGAGGUGAAGGAUGACAAUGCAGGAUUUAAUCUAACCGGGUUCAGUUUGUUAAUGCUAUAGAAAGGGUG